rnacentral:lncRNA from 1 species
CACGAGGGCAAGCAACAACGGAAGCGAAAGCUCUAAGCUAAAACAUACAACCAUACAUGAUAUUUGAUUACAUUUUAACCAAAUACAAGUAAACUACAACUAUUACAUUCUUUUUCCAUUCAAUUAUAAUUCUUUACAUUUUUGUCAUUCUCCAAAAUACAUGAUGUGUUUUUAAAUUUACAAUUCUAAAUCAACAAAAUAAAAGUUGAUACAUGUAAACAAAAGGAAUGACUAAUGC